rnacentral:rRNA from 1 species
CCUACGGGGGGCAGCAGUGGGGGAUAUUGCACAAUGGGGGGAACCCUGAUGCAGCGACGCCGCGUGGGUGAAGGAGUGCUUCGGCAUGUAAAGCCCUAUCGGCAGGGAAGAAGCAAGACGGUACCUGACUAAGAAGCCCCGGCUAACUACGUGCCAGCAGCCGCGGUAAUACGUAGGGGGCGAGCGUUAUCCGGAAUCACUGGGUGGAAAGGGAGCGUAGACGGCCAAGCAAGCCAGGGGUGAAAGCCCCGGGCCCAACCCCGGGACUGCCCUUGGAACUGCAUGGCUGGAGUGCGGGAGGGGCAGGCGGAAGUCCUGGUGUAGCGGUGAAAUGCGUAGAUAUCAGGAGGAACACCGGCGGCGAAGGCGGGCGGCUGGACCGCGACUGACGUUGAGGCUCGAAAGCGUGGGGAGCGAACAGGAUUAGAUACCCGUGUAGUC